rnacentral:rRNA from 1 species
UAUACGACUCUCGGCAACGGAUAUCUCGGCUCUCGCAUCGAUGAAGAACGUAGCGAAAUGCGAUACUUGGUGUGAAUUGCAGAAUCCCGUGAACCAUCGAGUCUUUGAACGCAAGUUGCGCCCGAGGCCUUUCGGUUGAGGGCACGCCUGCCUGGGCGUC